GAUGAACGCUAGCGACAGGCCUAACACAUGCAAGUCGAGGGGCAGCACAUGAGUAGCAAUACGAUGGUGGCGACCGGCGCACGGGUGAGUAACACGUAUGCAACCUGCCUGUAAGAGGGGAAUAACCCGGAGAAAUUCGGACUAAUACCGCAUAAUACCACGAGACUGCAUGGUUUUGUGGUUAAACAUUUAUGGCUUACAGAUGGGCAUGCGUAUGAUUAGAUAGUUGUAGGUAACGGCUACCAAGUCUACGAUCAUUAGGGGUUCUGAGAGGAAGGUCCCCCAACUGGUACUGAGACACGGACCAGACUCCUACGGGAGCAGCAGUGAGGAAUAUUGGUCAAUGGGCGAGAGCCUGAACCAGCCAAGUCGCGUGAGGGAUGACGGCCCUAUGGGUUGUAAACCCCUUUUAUGCGGGAAUAAAAUGUUUGACGUGUCAUACAUUGUAGGUACCGCAAGAAUAAGGACCGGCUAAUUCCGUGCCAGCAGCCGC
rnacentral:rRNA from 1 species